rnacentral:tRNA from 1 species
GCCGGAGUGGCGGAAUUGGCAGACGCACGGGACUUAAAAUCCCGAGCCCGAAAGGGCGUGCGGGUUCAACCCCCGCCUCCGGCACCA